CUACGGGCGGCUGCAGUGAGGAAUAUUGCACAAUGGGGGGAACCCUGAUGCAGCAACGCCGCGUGGAGGAUGACGCACUUCGGUGUGUAAACUCCUUUUAUAUGUCAAGAAAAUGACGGUAGCAUAUGAAUAAGCACCGGCUAACUCCGUGCCAGCAGCCGCGGUAAUACGGAGGGUGCAAGCGUUACUCGGAAUCACUGGGCGUAAAGGACGCGUAGGCGGGUUGGAAAGUCAGGUGUGAAAUCCUACAGCUUAACUGUAGAACUGCACUUGAAACUUCUAAUCUAGAGUAUGGGAGGGGGAGAUGGAAUUAGUGGUGUAGGGGUAAUAUCCGUAGAUAUCACUAGGAAUACCUAAAGCGAAGGCGAUCUCCUGGAACAUUACUGACGCUAAGGCGCGAAAGCGUGGGGAGCAAACAGGAUUAGAUACCCCAGUAGUC
rnacentral:rRNA from 1 species